AGAGUUUGAUCAUGGCUCAGGACGAACGCUGGCGGCGUGCUUAACACAUGCAAGUCGAGCGGGGUGAGUUCUUCGGAACGAUCCUAGCGGCGGACGGGUGAGUAACACGUGAGUAACCUGCCCUAUGGAGGGGGAUAACACAAAGAAAUUUGUGCUAAUACCGCAUAACACUGAUGCUUCGCAUGGAGUGUCAGUCAAAGAUUUAUCGCCAUAGGAUGGACUCGCGGCGCAUUAGCUAGUUGGUGAGGUAACGGCUCACCAAGGCGACGAUGCGUAGCCGACCUGAGAGGGUGAUCGGCCACAUUGGAACUGAGACACGGUCCAGACUCCUACGGGAGGCAGCAGUGGGGAAUAUUGCACAAUGGGCGAAAGCCUGAUGCAGCAACGCCGCGUGAGCGAUGAAGGCCUUCGGGUUGUAAAGCUCUGUCUUUGCUGACGAAUAAAUGACGGUAAGCAAGGAGGAAGCCACGGCUAACUACGUGCCAGCAGCCGCGGUAAUACGUAGGUGGCAAGCGUUGUCCGGAAUUACUGGGCGUAAAGAAUGCGUAGGCGGUCUUUUAAGUGGGAUGUGAAAUCCCUGGGCUCAACCCAGGAACUGCAUUCCAAACUGGAAGACUAGAGUGUGGGAGAGGAAAAUGGUAUUCCCAGUGUAGCGGUGAAAUGCGUAGAGAUUGGGAGGAACACCAGUAGCGAAGGCGAUUUUCUGGAACAUAACUGACGCUGAGGCAUGAAAGCGUGGGGAGCAAACAGGAUUAGAUACCCUGGUAGUCCACGCCGUAAACGAUGAGUACUAUGUGUAGGGGGGUACCACCCCCUGUGCCGCAGUUAACACAUUAAGUACUCCGCCUGGGAAGUACGAUCGCAAGAUUAAAACUCAAAGGAAUUGACGG
rnacentral:rRNA from 1 species